rnacentral:rRNA from 1 species
GAUGAACGCUGGCGGCGUGCCUAAUACAUGCAAGUCGAGCGAACAGACGAGGAGCUUGCUCCUCUGACGUUAGCGGCGGACGGGUGAGUAACACGUGGAUAACCUACCUAUAAGACUGGGAUAACUUCGGGAAACCGGAGCUACUACCGGAUAAUAUAUUGAACCGCAUGGUUCAAUAGUGAAAGACGGUUUUGCUGUCACUUAUAGAUGGAUCCGCGCCGCAUUAGCUAGUUGGUAAGGUAACGGCUUACCAAGGCGACGAUGCGUAGCCGACCUGAGAGGGUGGUCGGCCGCACUGGAACUGCGACACGGUCCAGACUCCUACGGGAGGCAGCAGUAGGGAAUCUUCCGCAAUGGGCGAAAGCAUGACGGAGCAACGCCGCGUGAGUGAUGAAGGUCUUCGGAUCGUAAAACUCUGUUAUUAGGGAAGAACAAAUGUGUAAGUAACUAUGCACGUCUUGACGGUACCUAAUCAGAAAGCCACGGCUAACUACGUG